rnacentral:rRNA from 1 species
AAUACUUGUUUAAGAUGCGAUGGAGGGACGAAGAAGGUUAUGCCAGCCUAGUGAUGGUUAUCUAGGUGGAAGGGUGUAGGUAGGUUUAGUAGGCAAAUCCGCUGRACUAAUACYAAGACCUGAUAGCAAGCCGYAAGGCGAAGUGGCAAAUACCAUGCUUCCAAGAAAAGCUUCUAAGCGAUAGUUUUAAACGAAUCG